CACGUAGGGUGCGAGCGUUGUCCGGAAUUAUUGGGCGUAAAGAGCUCGUAGGUGGUGUGUCGCGUCGGCCGUGAAAACCUGCAGCUUAACUGUGGGCGUGCGGUCGAUACGGGCAUCACUGGAGUUCGGCAGGGGAGACUGGAAUUCCUGGUGUAGCGGUGAAAUGCGCAGAUAUCAGGAGGAACACCGGUGGCGAAGGCGGGUCUCUGGGCCGAUACUGACGCUGAGGAGCGAAAGCGUGGGGAGCGAACAGG
rnacentral:rRNA from 1 species